rnacentral:misc_RNA from 1 species
GAUGAAGAACGUAGUGAAAUGCGAUAAGUAAUGUGAAUUGCAGAAUUCAGUGAAUCAUCGAAUCUUUGAACGCACAUUGCGCCCGCCAGUAUUCUGGCGGGCAUGCCUGUUCGAGCGUCAUUUCAACCCUCAAGCCCCAGCGGCCUGGUGUUGGGGACCGGCGACCUCGCCCGAGCCCGCCCUCCGGGGCGCGUGCCCGGUGCGUCCGCCGCCCCCGAAAUGAAUUGGCGGCCUCGUCGCGGCCUCCUCUGCGUAGUAGCACAACCUCGCAAGCGGGAGCGCGACGCGGCCACUGCCGUAAAACGCCCGACCCCCAUGAGUUUGACCUCGGAUCAGGUAGGAAUACCCGCUGAACUUAAGCAUAUCAAUAAGCGGAGGA